AGCGUUAUACAUAAUUAUUUUAUUUUUAUUUUGACCAGGGAAAACACAUUGUAGGUUGUAACGAAAGAGAGAGGAGCAGAGUGAGCCCAUGAGAAGUAGUCUUAACAGGUCAUUGCCGCUCGAGUGGAAAGCGACCAAUGGCCCACCAACUUCACAGCCUCCCCUAUAUCAACCCUGUCGACAUUUCUUUCUUCUGUUUUUUAUUUUUUUU
rnacentral:lncRNA from 1 species